rnacentral:rRNA from 1 species
GUGCCAGCAAGCCGCGGUAAUAGCCGCACCCCGAGUGGUGCCCAGUAUUAUUGGGCUUAAAGUGUCUGUCGCUUGCCGUGUAAGUCUGCUGUGAAAUCCACGCGCUCAACGUGUGGGCGUGCAGCGGAUACUGCAUGGCUUGGGACCAGACGGCGUCGAGGCUAUUCCAGGGGUAGGAGUGAAAUCCUAAAAUCCCUGGAGGAGCACCUGUGGCGAAAGCGCUCGGCGAGUAUGGAUCCGACGGUGAGGGACGAAAGCCAGGGGAGCAAAGCGGAUUAGAUACCCGGGUAGUCC